AUCAUAGACAGAGAAGGGAUUGUAGACAGAGUAGGGAUUGUAGACAGAGAAGGGAUUGUAGACAGAGUAGGGAUUGUAGACAGAGAAGGGAUCAUAGACAGAGAAGGGAUCAUAGACAGAGAAGGGAUUGUAGACAGAGUAGGGAUUGUAGACAGAGUAGGGAUUGUAGACAGAGUAGGGAUUGUAGACAGAGAAGGGAUUGUAGACAGAG